CUGGGCUUAAAGCGUACGCAGGCGGACUUGUAGGUAUCUUGUGAAAUCCCACGGCUUAACCGUGGAACUGCAGGGUAAACCACAAGUCUUGAGACAUGUAGGGGUCAGUGGAACCAUGAGUGGAGCGGUGAAAUGCGUAGAUAUUCAUGGGAACGCCAAUGGCGAAGGCAGCUGACUGGGCAUGUUCUGACGCUCAGGUACGAAAGCGUGGGUAGCGAACGGGAUUAGAUACCCCGGUAGUCCACGCCGUAAACGAUGCACACUAGGUCGUGGGAUCUCUCAUGAUUUCGCGGCCGAAGGUAAACUGAUUAGUGUGCCGCCUGGGGAGUACGGUCGCAAGGCUAAAACUCAAAGGAAUUGACGGGGGCUCACACAAGCGGUGGAGCAUGUUGCUUAAUUCGAGGCAACGCGAAGAACCUUACCUGGGCUUGACAUGUAUGGAUUAGCUUAUGGAAACAUAAGUGACGCCCUUGGGUGGAACAUACACAGGUGCUGCAUGGCUGUCGUCAGCUCGUGCUGUGAAGUGUCGGGUUAAGUCCCUUAACGAGCGCAACCCCUAUCGUUAGUUACUAACGCGUUAUGGCGAGGACUCUAGCGAGACUGCCGGUGUCAAACCGGAGGAAGGUGGGGAUGACGUCAAGUCCUCAUGGCCUUUAUGCCCAGGGAUGCAAACGUGCUACAAUGGUACGGACAAAGCGAUGCAAUACCGCGAGGUGGAGCAAAUCGCAAAACCGUGCCCCAGUUCGGAUAGCAGCUGAAAUUCGCCUGCUUGAAGCCGGAUCGCUAGUAAUCGCGUAUCAGCUACGACGCGUGAAUACGUUCCUGAGCCU
rnacentral:rRNA from 1 species